rnacentral:ncRNA from 22 species
UAACGAUAGCCUUACGUUGGUUCCUCAAACCCGUUCGGGCGAGGGGAUCAAAAGGGAACACGGUGCGGCGUACCCAUCAGGGACCAAAUCCGUGGCUGCCCCCGCAACUGUAAGCGGCGAGUGCCUCCGACUAUGCCACUGACAUCCCUCGGGAUGUUGGGAAGGCCGGAGAACACGGUGACCCGCGAGUCAGGAGACCUGCCAGCGUGCAACCGGGCGAA